CAGCACUGGCCUGGAGGACAGAAGGAAGCUGACAUAAAGAGAUUUUUUGACUUAAUAAAAACUCAAAGAGAAGAGAAAAAGCCAAGAAGUCCCCAGGGUGGCCCAUGGCAGCGAGGUUACCAGGGCCUGACUUGCAGUGAUGGCUGGCUGGAUGACCCAGAGGAAGAUGAAGACGCCAAUAAAGUGCCCAGGGUGUGUCCACGCCGGCGCUAAGUCCACCUCUGCCUGUCCCACCCUUGGGACAUCCCGGGUGUGAAGGAUGCUGAGAUGUAAACAGUGGAGUGGAAAGUGGACAGGGAAGCAAACCUCAGAAGGGUAGCAAAUCAGUUAUCUUGGAGAACGGAUAUGGUCUUAGGAAGCAGAUUAAAAAACUCAAGCAAGAGUUCCAGAAAACCUGGAAGGCACAUAAUUAAAGGUAUUCUGGCCUAGUAUCCCCUAAAGAAUCAGGGAGAGGAGGGGGUACCUGUUAGGUCAAUACAUACACAUAUGCACACACACACAUUCACAGAUCUACACAUCUCUGUAAGCAUGCACAAAAUGUGCACAUGUUAAAAAACCUCAGAAUGCCAGGCAAAUACUUAUCAUCCUGUAAAUAUGCAGAUGUGUGCAAACAAAUAGCCCUGAUGAAACAAUGUGUUAAUGUGUUGGAGGCUUUAGUUUAUAAAACACCUUCCCAUGCAUUCUCUCCUCAUAGCAACCCUGUGAAUAGAAUUUGUCUUAAUAGCUUCCAUGCAGUGAGUGCUUUGUGGGCCAGGCACUAUGCUAAGUGCCUUAAAUGCAUU